UGGAUACUUCCUCCGUUCGGAAUUACUCGUUCAAGAAAUGAAUGUAUCUAGAUAUAUUUUAGUUGUAGAUACAUUCAUUUUUAUGACAAGUAAUUCUGAACGGAGGGAGUAGGGG
rnacentral:pre_miRNA from 1 species